GUUUUCUCCACUCCACGUCAUCUGAUGGUCUUCCACUUUACUCCAUCCCAUUUCCCACCCCUCCACUCCUUUUCAUUCCCCUCUUCUCCUCAAUUUAUUUUUCUCCACUCUGCUUCAUUUCAUUGAACUCUAUUCAGUUUAUUUCAUUUCCCACCAUGCCACUCCAUUUCUUUUCCCACCGCUACAUGCAGUUUUUGUCCACUGCACUCCAUAAAAUUUAGCCCCCUCAACUCCACUGUUUCAUUUUCCCCAGUCCUCGUCAAAUAAUAUUUUUCCUCUCCUCUCCUCUCCUCUCCUCUCCUCUCCUCUCCUCUCCUCUCCUCUCCCUCCUCCCUCUCCUCUCCUCUCCUCUCCUCUCCUCUCCCUCCUCCCUCUCCUCUCCUCUCCCUCUCCUCUCCUCUCCUCUCCUCUCCACUCCACUCCACUCCACUCCACUCCACUCCACUCCACCUCACUCCUCUCCACUCCUGUUCCUUUAUUUCCAUUUCAUUUCCCGCCACUCCAUUUCAUUUCGGUUUUCUCCAGUCCUCUUCAUCUGAUGGUCUUCCACUUUACUCCAUCCCAUUUCCCACCCCUCCACUCCUUUUCAUUCCCCUCUUUCCUCACAAUUUAUUUUCCUCCACUCUGCUUCAUUUCAUUGAACUCUAUUCAGUUUAUUUCAUUUCCCACCACGCCACUCCAUUUCUUUUCCCACCGCUACGUGCAGUUUUUGUCCACUGCACUCCAUAAAAUUUAGCCCCCUCAACUCCACUGUUUCAUUUUCCCCAGUCCUCGUCAAAUAAUAUUUUUCCUCUCCUCUCCUCUCCUCUCCUCUCCUCUCCUCUCCUCUCCUCUCCUCUCCUCUCCUCUCCUCUCCUCUCCCUCCUCCCUCUCCUCUCCUCUCCUCUCCUCUCCUCUCCUCUCCACUCCACUCCACUCCACUCCACUCCACUCCACUCCACUCCACCUCACUCCUCUCCACUCCAGUUCCUUUAUUUCCAUUUCAUUUUCCCGCCACUCCAUUUCAUUUCGGUUUUCUCCAGUCCACUUCAUCUGAUGGUCUUCCACUUUACUCCAUCCCAUUUCCCACCCCUCCACUCCUUUUCAUUCCCCUCUUUCCUCACAAUUUAUUUUCCUCCACUCUGCUUCAUUUCAUUGAACUCUAUUCAGUUUAUUUCAUUUCCCACCACACCACUCCAUUUCAUUUCGGUUUUCUCCAGUCCUCUUCAUCUGAUGGUCUUCCACUUUACUCCAUCCCAUUUCCCACCCCUCCACUCCUUUUCAUUCCCCUCUUUCCUCACAAUUUAUUUUCCUCCACUCUGCUUCAUUUCAUUGAACUCU
rnacentral:lncRNA from 7 species